AAUACGGAAGGUGCAAGCGUUAAUCGGAAUUACUGGGCGUAAAGCGCGCGUAGGUGGUUUGUUAAGUUGGAUGUGAAAGCCCUGGGCUCAACCUAGGAACUGCAUCCAAAACUAACUCACUAGAGUACGAUAGAGGGAGGUAGAAUUCAUAGUGUAGCGGUGGAAUGCGUAGAUAUUAUGAAGAAUACCAGUGGCGAAGGCGGCCUCCUGGAUCUGUACUGACACUGAGGUGCGAAAGCGUGGGUAGCGAACAGGAUUAGAUACCCUGGUAGUCCACGCCGUAAACGAUGACAACUAGCUGUUGGGAGACAAUGUCUUUCAGUGGCGCAGCUAACGUUUUAAGUUGUCCGCCUGGGGAGUACGGCCGCAAGGCUAAAACUCAAAUGAAUUGACGGGGACCCGCACAAGCGGUGGAGCAUGUGGUUUAAUUCGAUGCAACGCGAAAAACCUUACCUACUCUUGACAUACUUGGAAGCUCUUGUAAUGAGAGUGUGCCUUUUGGAACCAAGAUACAGGUGCUGCAUGGCUGUCGUCAGCUCGUGUCGUGAGAUGUUCCGUUAAGUCGGAUAACGAGCGCAACCCUUACCCUUAUUUGCCAGCGAUUCGGUCGGGAACUAUAAGGGGACUGCCGGUGAUAAACCGGAGGAAGGUGAGGACGACGUCAAGUCAUCAUGGCCCUUACGAGUAGGGCUACACACGUGCUACAAUGGGGAAUACAGACGGACGCUAAGCCGCGAGGUGGUGCUAAUCCUAGAAAGUUUCUCGUAGUCCGGAUUGGAGUCUGCAACUCGACUCCAUGAAGUCGGAAUCGCUAGUAAUCGCGGAUCAGCAUGCCGCGGUGAAUACGUUCUCGGGUCUUGUACACACCGCCCGUCACACCAUGGAAGUGGAUUGCACCAGAAGUAGAUAGUCUAACCUUCGGGAGGGCGUUUACCAGCGGUGUGCUUCAU
rnacentral:rRNA from 1 species